AAUCAACGCUGGCGGCGUGCCUAACACAUGCAAGUCGAACGCGAAAGCCCCUUCGGGGCGAAGUAGAGUGGCGUCCGGGCGAGUAACACGUGGGUAAUCUACCUCCGGGUGGGGAAGUAACUCGCCGAAAGGCGGGCUAAUACCGCAUAAUGCAGCGGCACCGAAUGGUGAUUAGUUGUUAAAGCGGGGGACCGUUAGGGCCUCGCGUCUGGAGAGGAGCCUGCUGCAGAUUAGCUUGNGGUUAGGGUAAUGGCCUACCAAGGCUGCGAUCUGUAGCUGGUCUGAGAGGAC
rnacentral:rRNA from 1 species